GGUUUGAUGGAGCAGAGCGUUCAAUCGAGCAUCUUCCAGAACCUUUCGAGCCUGCUCCUGCAGGAACCGAACCUUCACACAAACAUUAAUAAGAUUUAGAAGAAGCUGAAUCUCCAAAAAAGAAAAAGAUUCACCUGUUCUGCUAUGAUUGAGAGUUUACUACCAGCUGUAGCUCUAGUAAACUGAUCAGCUGUCUGUAGCUGGCUGGCCAA